rnacentral:rRNA from 1 species
GAUGAACGCUGGCGGCGUGCCUAAUACAUGCAAGUCGAGCGAACGGACGAGAAGCUUGCUUCUCUGAUGUUAGCGGCGGACGGGUGAGUAACACGUGGAUAACCUACCUAUAAGACUGGGAUAACUUCGGGAAACCGGAGCUAAUACCGGAUAAUAUUUUGAACCGCAUGGUUCAAAAGUGAAAGACGGUCUUGCUGUCACUUAUAGAUGGAUCCGCGCUGCAUUAGCUAGUUGGUAAGGUAACGGCUUACCAAGGCAACGAUGCAUAGCCGACCUGAGAGGGAGAUCGCACACACGGGAACUGAGACACGGUACAGACUCCGACGGUAGGCAGCAGUAGGGAAUCUUCCGCGAUGGGCGAAAGCCUGACGGAGCAACGCCGCGGGAGUGAUGAAGGUCUUCGGAUCGUAAAACUCUGUUAUUAGGGAAGAACAUAUGUGUAAGUAACUGUGCACAUCUUGACGGUACCUAAUCAGAAAGCCACGGCUAACUACGUG